AUUGAACGCUGGCGGAAUGCUUUACACAUGCAAGUCGAACGGCAGCACGGGGGCAACCCUGGUGGCGAGUGGCGAACGGGUGAGUAAUACAUCGGUACGUGCCCAGUCGUGGGGGAUAACGUAGCGAAAGUUACGCUAAUACCGCAUACGAUCUACGGAUGAAAGCGGGGGACCGUAAGGCCUCGCGCGAUUGGAGCGGCCGAUGUCAGAUUAGGUAGUUGGUGAGGUAAAGGCUCACCAAGCCGACGAUCUGUAGCUGGUAUGAGAGGACGACCAGCCACACUGGGACUGAGACACGGCCCAGACUCGUACGGGAGGCAGCAGUGGGGAAUUUUGGACAAUGGGCGCAAGCCUGAUCCAGCCAUUCCGCGUGCAGGACGAAGGCCUUCGGGUUGUAAACUGCUUUUGUACGGAACGAAAAGGCUCUGGUUAAUACCUGGGGCUCAUGACGGUACCGUAAGAAUAAGCACCGGCUAACUACGUGCCAGCCGCCGCCGUAA
rnacentral:rRNA from 1 species